rnacentral:tRNA from 1 species
AAGAUCUUAAGUUAAACGAAACUAGAAGACUUCAAACCUUCCUAUAUGAGUAUAAAUCUCUUAGGUCUUA